rnacentral:ncRNA from 1 species
GUCACAACAAAUGCUGCCACCACUUGGGUGGUGGUGCAUGGCCGUUCCUAGUUGGUGGAGCAACUUGUCUGGUUAAUACCGAUAACAAAUGAGACCUCAGCUUGCUAUCUAGCUACGAGGAGGCAUCCCACCAUGGCCAGCUUCUUAGAGGGACCACAGCCAUUUAACCCACAAAAGUUUCGCAAUAACACAUUUAUGAUGCCCCUAGAUGUU